UGUAUCAGAUUUUAUUAAAAUCCAAUCAUAUUUUGUUAAGUACAAUGUAAAACACCAAAAAUUGCCUGAAGUUAAGUUCAUAGAAAGUAACUGCUGUCUAAAUACUAAUCACAUUAUUGGUUGGGAAAAACGCAAUUUAAAUUUUCCCUUAAAAUCAUUCAGGCCAAAUCUGUUGGCCCUACAUCCUCUUGCAGAUCUGGAGCCCAGAGCGCAACAAACAGGGGGGGCGGUUCAACACCACCAUUUAUCCACUCUGACCUGCAGCUAUUAGAGCGUGUAGCAGAUCAGAGGAUGGGUCAAGCCUCCCAUCUCUGUGCCUCUGUUUGGGAAAUCACUGCCAUUUGAUCCAGGCCAGCCCCAGAGGAAUGCUGCUCCUGCAGAUAUAUUACAGGCAGGGAGGCUGCCAAACUGGCUUCUGGCAUGGGAGCACGGCUUGGACAUGGAGAGGCAGAUCUGGGAAAGGGUCAGACAGUGGCUCACACUGGGGGUUUGCUAAAUGAUCGCGGGUAACGUCUGCUGUUUGGGGUGGGGAGGAAUAAUGGUCCGCUGGGAAUACAGAGCCAGUGUGGUUCAUACAAUAUUGAUUCCUCCCUUUCAGAAGAAGCCAAGCAGAGUUUUCUCCUUUGGUGAGAGACUUACACAUUGUACAAGUUUGCAUCUUGAGAUAUCAAAGGGGCAUGAAUUCUUUUGGAGAUAGGUAUUUCUUUCAUUUUCAAAGAGCAGCAGAUGACUCGUAUUACAGCUCUAAAUACCACUUUGAAAUCCCUUGAAAAUCAGAACGCUCCUCAGAAACAACAUAAAAGUGGGAUUUUUUUUUUUGUAGAAUAAAUUAGAUAGGUAUCGAUUUACUUCCCACAUCACGUGCUGCAAUCACCUGACUCUCUGGACCACAGAGAACCACUUGGGCUUUGUUUAUUCAGAUGGAGAGAGCAGAGGCACCAAAAGGCAUGGAUUAUAAGGAAAAAUCAUCAUCAGAGGCCUUUGAUGUCUAAAUGAAGCAUGUGCAACCCAGACCCCUCUCUUUAACUCAGAACUGCCUCUUCGCAUGCACGCAUGCACGCACGCACGCACGCACGCACACACGCACGCACGCUAAACAGAUAUCUGAAAUUGAAGAGAACUUCCAGAACUACACAGAGUUCCACAGAUGCAUUGCCGCUCUCGUCAUUUUGGACAUCAUACUUCCAUUGCAACUCAUGUGCUUUGAAUUAUAGGACACGCUGGUCAAGUCCUGCAGAUAAUUCUGAAAAAAGUGGUUCCUGCAUCUGUUUUCACUAUCGCAGGCAGAGGAUGUUGUUACUUACAAGUAAUUUUUCACACUGAAAUCAAUCAUUUGCCCUGACAGCAGAUUUGGAACUUUGACUCCAAAAGAAAUGUUUGCGUGGAGGAAAAAUUUCUCAACUUUGUGGAAGUCAAUCAUUUGUCAGAGACAUAAUACAUGCAACUGUGACCUGGCAGGAUGAGUACAGAGUUAACUAUCAUCCAGUGCGCAGAGGCUCCGGAGACAGGUGACGAGAGGUGGCAUCGUUUUGAACGUGCAGCUUACACGUCUACUCUGUGUACGAGUCGAGCUGCAGCCCGAAAGAACCAUUGCAAUCACCAGAGGCGACAGCAGGAUGAGACACAGGAAGGAGUCUGGUCUCCAAACAUCUGGCAGGGCAAGGCUUCCAUGACUAGCUCAAUCUCGGGAUAAAAAAAAAGGCCCUCAGAUCUGUAGGGAUCAAAGUGUGCCCUGGGUGCCUGAGCCACGGUGGCCUCCCUCGACAUAUUCAAAUGGGGUUUUCUGAAAGAAGUCGGAGCCACAAGCAGACCUUGGAACAUAAUCGAGGCAGGAACAGGACGCAAUGAAUACCUGAAAAUCUGUGUUUUCUAAAGAGUCAGUCAAGCCCAUAUCUGAAGGACAUUUAGAAUAUAGAAUACAUAUAAUAGGAUGUAAGUACACUGUCAGAGAGGAUGUCAAAUAAGAGUUUAAGUGCCCAGAGCCAAGUGUUUGACUUCUGAGAAUAUACAGUUUGCUGCCAAUUAGUCUGAACGAGAAGGGUUUUAGGUUGCAUUUGGUCACCAGUACAAAACCCUACUCAUAGGAGGCGUUGUAAGUAGACAUCAUCAUUUAUAACUGGUGCAUUAGGUGACACAGUUGAGCACUAUGUUACAUAUCAUGGUUCACAUUACAUAGUUGAAAUGCUCUAUAUUUGAACACAGUUUAACAAAUAGUGACAU